UUGGUCAUAGUUUUCAGUUGGCAGAGCGUGAGACUGUUAAUCUCAGGGUUGUGGGUUCGAGACCCAUGUUGAGCAAA